rnacentral:rRNA from 1 species
CCUACGGGAGGCAGCAGUGGGGAAUAUUGCACAAUGGGCGAAAGCCUGAUGCAGCAACGCCGCGUGAAGGAAGACGGUUUUCGGAUUGUAAACUUCUGUUCUUAGUGAAGAAUAAUGACGGUAACUAAGGAGCAAGCCACGGCUAACUACGUGCCAGCAGCCGCGGUAAUACGUAGGAUGCGAGCGUUAUCCGGAUUUAUUGGGUUUAAAGGGUGCGUAGGCGGAAUGCCAAGUCAGCGGUAAAAUCGCGGGGCUCAACCUCGCUCCGCCGUUGAAACUGGCGUUCUUGAGUGGGCGAGAAGUAUGCGGAAUGCGUGGUGUAGCGGUGAAAUGCAUAGAUAUCACGCAGAACUCCGAUUGCGAAGGCAGCAUACCGGCGCCCAACUGACGCUGAAGCACGAAAGCGUGGGUAUCGAACAGGAUUAGAUACCCGAGUAGUC